rnacentral:misc_RNA from 1 species
UACGGAGGGGACUAGCGUUGUUCGGAAUUACUGGGCGUAAAGCGCGCGUAGGCGGAUUAGUCAGUCAGAGGCGAAAUCCCAGGGCUCAACCCUGGAACUGCCUUUGAUACUGCUAGUCUUGAGUUCGAGAGAGGUGAGUGGAAUUCCGAGUGUAGAGGUGAAAUUCGUAGAUAUUGGGAAGAACACCGGUUGCGAAGGCGGCUAGCUGGCUCGAUACUGACGCUGAGGUGCGAAAGCGUGGGGAGCAAACAGG